ensembl:lncRNA
CGGAAACGGUAGAAAACAGUCCGCGGACGGAGCUGAAGAAGACAAUGUCCUCUGACUGACAGCUCGGGAAGCACGGACUCAGCGGCUGGACCAGUUAGCACGAGGAGCUCUCAGGAGUUAGCUGACAUGAAAUCAACAGGAAAACAAAAGGUGGUGACAUCAGGCCGUCUGACUGGAGGACGAGUUCAGCUGAACAGAGCCGCUCCACAUCCUGGACCAGGAUCCUGCCCUGAACCGGCCUACUCUCUGUACUCCACGGACUCUGAAGACCAGGUCACCACCCUCCAUCAGGGUCUGGAUCGCUGUGCUGUCUUGCUCAAUGGCAUCCUCCAGGCUGAGGCAAGUCCAGCUCAGCCCAGCCGCCCUAGACCAGGAACAGGUGGAACCGCCAGACCCAGACCAUCAACCACAGUGGGGAAGAAGACCAUGAAGAAACCACAGAGGAAGUCAGUCCAUAAGAAUCCUCAGUCAGGAUUAGGCAGCACAACACCAAGACCAGCAACCCGGUCUCCAGCUGCCCACUCAGGAGUGAAGCUGCAUCCGCCACGGAGGCCGCUCUACACCCCGUGCCAGGACCACCAUCUCGUAUCUCCAGCCGGAUCCCAGUCCGCCAUCCCUCCAUCCGGAUCCCAGUCCGCCAUCCCUCCCUCCAGAUCACAGACCGCCAUCCCUCCCUCCAGAUCACAGACCGCCAUCCCUCCAUCCAGAUCACAGACCGCCAUCCCUCCAUCCAGAUCACAGACCGCCAUCCCUCCAUCAAGAUCCCAGUCCGCCAUCCCUCCAUCCGGAUCCCAGUCCGCCAUCCCUCCCUCCCCAUCCCAGACCUCCGUCCUUCUGUCUGUGGUCCAGUCCUCUUCGCCGUCAGUCCAGCUACCUCUCCAACAUGCUGACUUCCUGUCUGGGGCUGAGGCUCCGCCCCCACCCCGUGCAGAGGAGGAAUCUGUUCCUGUGAGAGACGUUGACGCCCAGAGCUCGGCUUCACACACCUGUGCACAUGUGGACUCACAAACCAGGACCAUCUGCAGACCAGAGACUGUCCAGUAUUUGCUGGGAGAACUGAAGACGCUGAUCGCCGGACAAGGCAGUGUAGCAGAGAAGCUGCUCAGUCGUCUGGAACAGACAAUGUUGUCACAACUGGUGAACGAUGGAACUGAUCCAGACCUGAGCUGGGACCUCCAGCUUCACAGACAAAUGAUGACUCAGCAGUUACAGGAGAGUGAGAGACUUCAGAAGAACAUGGAAACGUUGAGUCACUCAGAAGCGACGGCUCUGCAGCAGCAGCUUGAUGUGGCUCAGUCCAAACUCCAGGAGCUCCAGCUCGACCUUGCUGGAUUACGGGAAGUCCUGCAGGACACACAGAACCAGCUGAGAGGCAGCAUGGCCGAGACCAGGACCGUCAGGACAGAGUUGGAAGCAGUCAGGAUCAGGCUGGCAGAGAGCGAGAGAGAGAAGAGUGAGUUGGCCUCACUUGCCCAAAAAAGACUGGAGGAGAUAGAAAACCUGAGCAGGAUCCUUCAGGCCUCAGAGACUCAUAGUGCUGUUGAAGGUCCAGUUUCAGACCUGGACCUGCAGCAGUGCAGACAAACACAGAGUCCCCCUGAACGGAUCACUCAGUACCUGGAGUCUUUGGACCAGCUGGGUCCCAAACACACCGAGUUCAUGGCUGCAGAGAGAGAGACCAGCACCCGACAGCCACAGACCCAGACCACGGGCUCUCAAAAACCAGCAGACACCCCAGUCUGUCCACAGAACCUCCACCUGGAUCUGGUCCAGGUCUGUGAGCCUCAGCCAAAGAAGGGCGGUGGCCGACUGCUGGACUCCACGCUGUCCCAGUGUGAUGUAGUCUCUAACUGGUCUGACUGGAGCAUGAGGUCAGGGUCGACCUUUGACACCAGAGACGAGGCGGCCUUCAGAGAUGGUCUGGCUGCUCUGGACGCCAGCAUCGCCAGUCUGCAGAGGACCAUGCAGCUGGACCUGAGGAGGUGAUCCAGACUGUUUUCAUAUCUGCGCAGCACUUUGUAAUUUUCAGAAUUUUAAAGUAACUUAAUAUCAAUAAAGCAUUUAAAGCCAUUGC